UCUCUCUGACUUGUUAGUGUUCUCUGUUUCCUUCCUUGGUAUCACUGUAGCCUAAUCCACAGUUCAGAUGCAUUACUUGGUGGGAGAGGGGUUUUGGCAAUGGAGGCAUGCAAUGAUUAUAAUGAAGACACUUUCAGCAUAGCGGUGGAUGAAACUUUUUGAGCGUCACCCCUGUUUCCACAGCUAGAGGGAAUUCAGCCACGUUGCGCCCAUGUUCUAGCAGCUGAAGCUAAGUCUUCCAUUGGAAGGGUCAUAGCUCUUUUCCAAAGCUCUAUUAUUUUAGAACAAAGUCUAGAGUUGCCCCAUUUGCUCAAGAUUUGGAGUCACUGUCACAUCAAUUAUAACUGCAGAGGAUGCAAUAGAAAGGGAUCUUCAACUCUACCGGAGGACAAAACUAUAGUUUUUUGCUCAAUUGGUAAGUCUUAUUGCCGAUUUGAAACUUAUUCGAUCUCA
rnacentral:lncRNA from 1 species